UGCCGCGUGUGUGAAGAAGGCCUUCGGGUUGUAAAGCACUUUCGGACGGAACGAAAUCGCACGGGCGAAUAUCCCGCGUGGAUGACGGUACCGUAAGAAGAAGCACCGGCUAACUACGUGCCAGCAGCCGCGGUAAUACGUAGGGUGCGAGCGUUAAUCGGAAUUACUGGGCGUAAAGUGUGCGCAGGCGGCGUCGCAAGUCGAGUGUGAAAGCCCCGGGCUUAACUUGGGAAUUGCGCUCGAAACUACGGUGCUGGAGUGUGGCAGAGGAAGGUGGAAUUCCACGUGUAGCGGUGAAAUGCGUAGAGAUGUGGAGGAACACCGAUGGCGAAGGCAGCCUUCUGGGCCAACACUGACGCUCAUGCACGAAAGCGUGGGGAGCAAACAGGAUUAGAUACCCUGGUAGUCCACGCCCUAAACGAUGAUGACUAGUUGUUGGGGGAGUUAAAUCCCUUAGUAACGCAGCUAACGCGUGAAGUCAUCCGCCUGGGGAGUACGGUCGCAAGAUUA
rnacentral:rRNA from 1 species